AUGAAUCCAUUUGGGCAUGGUGAUUUUGGUGACGGAGGGAGAUCCCUGAUGCUAGCGUCGCCAUGGCUGAGAUGACAGGGAAGAAGGCCGACAACCUGGAUGCUUUCAAGUAGUCCAUCGAUCGGGGGGUCUAGAAUGUGAAGAACCUACAAGGUGGCUACCUCCUUGCUCAAGAGCGCAAAUUACACGCAGCCAGCAACCACUGAUCAACCAUCAACAAAUCGAUGUAUCUAUCAGCCAUUUUCUUAUGAAGAAGAUUUAGUCAGCUAUGUUCGGAGAUGAGGUUAAACUGGAAGUGAUUCUUUCUACUUGUCCAAAAAGAUAACUCCGUUGGAGUACAUAGUUGAGUUGCGCCAUGCACUAGGAUAUUAGUGUAGUUGACGAAGGUUUCAGCAAGAAAUUUGUCUUAAAUCAUCAUUAACAUGACAUGUGAUUGUAUCUUGCACUAAUUCCAGCUGCUAAGUUCUCUAAUUAGUAAAGAAAAUAUUCUAAGUGGCCGCUGGAAA